CUGCCCCGACCCCUUCGCACAUAUUUGAGUCUUUGGGAGUAAGAGACCAGUACAUUCGAGUCUCUGGGAGCAACAGGGCAAAGGUGAAAAGAUAAACAGCAUUUUCUCUUACUAUGGACCAUGCAGGCAACCAAAGGUUAGAAGACCAGGAAACAGAAUAAAUUGUUCUUCAUAGCCAUCAUCACUACGAAAGCCUUGUAUUCUGGUGAGAGCCAGAGGGAGAUUGGAAGGCCUGAAACUUGAAUUCUAGUCCUGGCUUUAUCACAGAAUAGAUUAAAUAAUGCACAGAAUGAUGUAGCAAGAGAAUUGGAUUUUGAGUCAGAAGACUUGGAUUCAUAUCCUGGCUCUUUCACUUACAUGGGUGUGACUAUAGAAAAUUCCCUUCACUCUUUGUCCAUUUUUUCAUCUAUAAAAUGAGGAUAAUAACACUUGUAUUGCUUACCUCACAGGUGAUCUACAGUUUUGAAGCAUGGAUUCUAACCAACCACUACUCAACUGAAACCACACUCUCCAAGGAUCAAGUCCCCAGGCAUCUUAGAUCAUACACACAUGUAUUGUAUUACAGUAACUCUACAAAGGCAACCCAAUGGCACCUCAAAAUCAACUUCAGAACAUGUGAACCUAAAUUCAUCUCCCAUCAACCAAACAUCAAUUUAUAUUAAGAAUCUCUACCUCAGGUCUUGAUCUUUAAGAUGAGGAUAGUAAAAUAUUAAUGAUCUAAAUCAAAGGCCUAAUUAAAGAUUCAAAAAAAGAUAAUAGUUGUAAAGCAUUUUAAAAUGUGUAAGUUUCUCCAUUGGAUCAGGAACUACACUCUAUGAACAUCAUACUUUAAUUAGCAUCUCAUUAUUUUGUAUUCUUGUCUAAUUCCCCUUAGUAGUGUGCUUAAGAAGAGUUCCCAUUAUGGGGCAGCU